UUGAUCCUGGCUCAGAUUGAACGCUGGCGGCAUGCCUAACACAUGCAAGUCGAACGGAGGUAGGGGCAACUCUACUUCAGUGGCGGACGGGUGAGGAAUGCGUCGGAAUCUACCCUAUGGUGGGGGAUAACACAGGGAAACUUGUGCUAAUACCGCAUGAUGUCGAGAGACCAAAGCAGGGGACCGCAAGGCCUUGCGCGAUAGGAUGAGCCGACGCCCGAUUAGCUAGUUGGUAGGGUAAAGGCCUACCAAGGCGACGAUCGGUAGCUGGUCUGAGAGGAUGAUCAGCCACACUGGGACUGAGACACGGCCCAGACUCCUACGGGAGGCAGCAGUGGGGAAUAUUGGACAAUGGGCGCAAGCCUGAUCCAGCAAUGCCGCGUGUGUGAAGAAGGCCUGCGGGUUGUAAAGCACUUUUGUUCGGGAAGAAAACGGAUCGGUUAAUACCGGUUCGGAUGACGGUACCGAAAGAAUAAGCACGGCUAACUUCGUGCCAGCAG
rnacentral:rRNA from 1 species